ensembl:snRNA Gm23331 predicted gene, 23331
AUGAUCCCUUUGGCAGCACAUAUACUAAAAUUGGAAAGAUGCAGAGAUUAGCAUGGCCCCCUGCACAAAGAAGAUAAAGAAAUUUGUGGAGAGAACCGGACAGCUUCU